rnacentral:misc_RNA from 1 species
AGAUUUCUCCCACUCAAACAUUAUCUUCUUCACUUGGACCUCCCAUGCCGAAAUGAAGGAGUGAGAAAACUCCCAUGGUCGCCCACCUUCAAACCUUCACAACCCCAUGAUCAAGCCUCCUUUUCCCACACCUUUCUUCAUUAAAGAUUGUCUACACAUCAUAAGGAAGAGCUUGAUACCAAAAUCAAGAAGUUUGGUGAAGGUUUAGCAAGUUACAACCAUAGGUAAGUUUACAUUUUUGAAUGUUGCUUUGUUAAACUUUGUGUACAUGUUAUGGGUGUUGGAUUUGUGAAGAAAAUUUUUAAGUU